GUUUACUCGAGAAUCUUCUGGAGAGUUCCAGGGCUUCGCAGUGUCAUCAAGUGGAGAGCAAGGGGCCUGGGUUUCCUCGUCGAAGGUGAAGGGCGGUGUCGCUCAGUUGCUGUUAUCUGGUCUACAUUGCCGCUGUUCGAGUGGUCGCUGGUUCACCCUCCAUGGUCUCCAUCGCAAGGUCUUCUCUGUCUCAUCGGAGGAGGAAGGGAGAAAGAACGCUAAUCGUUGUCUUGUCCGAGGUAGGAGAUGAACCAACCGCAUGGCUGAUCGGGGCAAAUGGACGACGUGAGGGGCGGCGGAGGAUCCGAAGGUGACGGUGAUGGCGCUGCCAGGGGUGCCCUGGGGGCCGUCGGGUGGGUGCGUACGGGGGCAUGUCAGCGGACAAUAUCAAGGGUUUGGUGCUUGCUUGGUCGUCGAGUUUCUUCAUAGGUUCUGGCUUCAUCAUCAAGAAGAAGGCUUUGACGAAGGCCGGCUCGUCUGGGGUUAGGGCAGAUUAAAGAGGGAGCAGUGUGUGGGCCCUUUUCAAGGAGGACAAUGCACUCAUUCUUCGCUGUAUCCCUUAGGCGGCGCUUUUUCCUUGCAAAUCGAGACGUGAUUCAAACCAGAUGAGUUUGUAGAAAACUUUGCAUAUUAUGGUAGCUGUAGUGGAGCAGCUUAGAGGUGCACUUGGAGAAUCAAGACUGCUAGUUCUUUUUUGUGUUGCAGCACACAUAAACCAGUAUCCUAACCUCAAAAUCUAGCUUGUGCUAUCUUGCAAAUCUGGCCAUCAUAGAAAUAGAAAUAACAAAGGUGGACUAUCUCUACAACUUGAGAACUUGGCAGCCUAAUCCAAGAGUUUUUGAAAGAAUGAGGAAUAGUGGUUUUGGUAAUAUGUUGCUAGUAGCACUUGUUAGGUAUGAUCUUCAUUUUAUUAUAGUCUUACUGAGAUUUAUAAUAUAGAAAUCCAUAUUAUUAUUGUUUAACAAUUUUAGGUUGUCUUAGUUUGUAAAAUGUUUUAUAUAUUACUGGUUUGUCAAUGGAUGGUAAGCCAAUAGAAGGUGUAAAUCAUAAUAUAAUUUUGUUAUGUUAAAAAUAUUUAGAUAUUGGAAAUAUCGAGUCUAGGACAGAUCACUAGAGUUUAGAGUGGUUUGGAUAAAAUUUCAAAGUGGCUUCUAAACAUAUAGGGUAAGAUUGUCCUCAUCUUGCAUCAUAUGUUCAAGCUUACAUUUUAUUUCUUGUUUAUUCAUUUGUACUUUGUAACAAAAAUGGAAAUAAUUUUUCCACUUCAUAUAUUUUUCUCUUUUAGAAAAUUUUGAGGAGGAUAGAGAUUGUGCUUUGGAUGCUGCUUUAUUGGCACACCUUCAUAUUGCAUUUUGGGAUUGGAAGAAAAAGUCACUGGGGCCAUAAUUUUCUUUUACAGAUAUUAUUAAUUUUUUAUUUUUUUGUGAUUAGCAAAAAAUUGUUUCUUUCAGUUGUUUGAAUUUUUCACCCAAAAAGUCGCCCACAUGCUUGAUCCUAAUCUUUGCAUCCAUUGGUCCACCUCCACUAAUAUUUAGGAGUGGAUUCUCCUCGAGCUCAACAUGCAUACUCUUCUUAUUUUCCAUCCUUUUCUUGGAACUAGCUUAAAAUAUAGGUCAUAAAUUUUUUAAUUAAUUUUUUAACUUGUAUAAUAGUAUGUACAUCAAGUCUAUUCUUGAUCUUGAUGUAGAAUUGUUGUUUUAUUUCCCAUCCUUCUUGAUAUGAUUAAUUACAAAAGAAAUAUUUUUUACUGACUGCAAAAGAAACAAAAAACUAAUGUGUGCUUGUAGAAGAAAAUUGUGGCCCCUCAAACUAUUCGAAGUUUUCAUCCCUCAAUUAUGUAAUGCAGCACGGAGAUGUGCCAAUAAAGAAAUUUUUUUGAAUAUUAUUUUUUUAAAUUUAAUUCAUAAAAUACUUUCAUAUUAAAUUUAUUUAUGAAUCUAUCGUAGUUUGGAUGAUAUGGGAUGCACAUAUAAAAUCAUGGGUUAAAUCCAUGAUUUAUUGCCAUGCAAGAUGAAAUUGUAGGUUGAAUCCAUGAUUUUUCUUUGAAGUGGUUUGUUAAGAUGUCACUGAAAAUGAAAUCGUGAGUUGAACCUACGAUUUCAAUGAAUUCGUAGGUUGAACCCACGAUUUCGUGACAGUCUUCUUUUUUUUUUUUUCAAAAUUUUUCUUCAAUCUUACUUAUCCCCCUAUUCUAAUCUAUCCCCAAUCCUAAACCCUCGUCUUCAUUCUAAAAUCUUUAAGAUCCUCUCCUAUCCUAUAAACCAACCUAAUAGCUUCAGAAAGAGGUAGAGGUAUAUUGAAAGCAAAGAGGGUUCGAGUAGAAAAAGAAAAAUAAUCUUUAUUUAGGUAUGAAGAAGAUUUAUUUUUGAAUAAUGAGUGUAGAAAAAGUUUAGAUCUAAUUUUUCUCGAACAAAAGUUGUGGGGGAAGGAUGGUAGACUUAAAUCAUUUUAGUGAUUUUUGAAUUGGAUAUUUAUUUGAAAGGAUGUAUUGGUUAUCUAUGAUGAUGCUCAACAAGUUAAUCUAUGCUAUUUUAGUGAAAUAUUUUUAUAGUAGUUUUAGUUUUAACAGCUCAAAUUGUUGUAUUUCAUCGUAUAUUAAAAAAAAAGAUUAUUGAGUUUGACUUUAAUCUUCUUGGUCAAAUAUUGGGAAUUUCGUCAGAUGGUGAUGAAUACUUCCAUAGCAUUUGUUGGAGUCAUCCAGUUUUAGGUUAUUGUGCUUUUGCUAGAACUAUUUUUGAGGAUGAUAGUUUAGGUCGAACCGCUAAACUUAAUGCACAUGUAUUGCUACUUAAGAAUCGACUCGUUCAUCAUAUUUUUAUAUUUAAUUUUCUAUCUAAAGGAGAUCAAAGAGAUAAUAUGUCGCGCCUAAAUAUUUAUCUUCUCAAAAUGAUUGUUUCGGAUGGUAGGGUUAAUUUGCUAUAUAUAAUGGUACAUUAUAUGAAUGAAUGCUUUCAAGGUACAAAAUUCUAUUUAUCCUAUGGAGCUGAUACAUUAUACAUUGUGUAGUUUUGUCCUAUGGAUAUUAUACUUGAAAUAAGAUAGUUUAUCAGAAAUCUCAAAUUCAAGAUAAAUCUGGUCAAAAUACAUGAUUUUAUUUGACAACUAGCUGUGUCAUAAGUAAAGAAAAAUGUGCUUACAAUAAAUCAAUUACAUUACUCUAAAAUCAAAUAAAAAAGAUGAAACAUCAUCAAGUGGUGUGUCAUAUAUUGCAACUAGAGCUGAUCAUGGGACGGGCGUCGGACCUAAACUCUAUUUAUUUUUACUCAGGUUUCGGGCUGGGCCUAUGCAAAAUUUGAUAGUCUCUGGGCCCAAACUCGAUCCAUGGUCAGGUUUAACUGCAACCAAAAGCCGAAGCCUAAUCAUGCGCUAGAGGGUGCUAUGGUAGCAGAGGGAACUAAUGAUCAAACUAUGCAAAUCCCUCGUCCAAGCGGCUUGUCAUAAAUGCCUCAACCUCGUCUAGUCACCUCAUCAUGGAUGCCUCGAGAGUGUCAGUCGAUGUGUCGAUUUGUGCUGUGAGAGAUUCGAUUCGAGCAAACAAUGCUUGUAGAUUGGAACAUUGUUGAUCAAACUACAUAUACCAACCUGGCUGGGUUGGGAGUAUAAGCUAUGUAGGCUGAGCAAGGUGCCUAUGUUGGUAUUUGUUGAUAGUCUGACCUUCUACUCCACUAUCAUUUUCUUCAUGCACCUCAGCAUUUCACUUCCAUACCCCAUCAGUAAAUGUAUACCUCAUACGCUUUAUAGAUGAAUGAUUGUAGGUGUCAAUGGGUCUAAGCUUAAUAACUUCAUCGUCAUCAGUGAUAGAGACAUCAGAGGUCUCGAAGAUAGCAGUCAUAAUAGCUCUAUAAGAUAAAUAGGAUUUUGAAAGCAUUCAUUCAUAUAAUGUAUCAUCAUAUAUGACAAAUUAAUUCAUCUAAAACUAUCAUUUUGAAGAGAUAAAUAUCUAGGUACGAUAUAUUAUCUUUGUGACCUCCUCUAGAUAGAAAAUUAAAUGUAAAAAUAUGAUGAAUAAGUCGAUUCUCAAGUGGCAAUUCAUGUGCAUCAGGUUUAUCAGUUCGAUUUAAACUAUCAUCUUCAAAAACAGUUCUAACAGAGGCACGAUAAAUUAAAAUUGGAUGACUCUAAUAAGUGUGGUUAAAGUAUUCAUCAUUAUUUGAUGGAAUGUCCAAUAUUUGAUCAAAAAAACUAAAAUCAAACUCAAUAAUUUUUCUUUUGACAUGCGAUGAAAUAAAAUAAUUUGAGUUGUCAAAAUUAAAAUUACUAUAAAAAUAGUUUACUAGAAUAUGAGAGGUUGAUUUGUUGAGCAUAAUUAUAAAUAAUCAAUCUAUCCUUUCAAAUAAAUAUCCAAUUCGAAAAUUACUAAAAUAAUUUAAUUCUAUUGUCCUCCCUGGUACAAUUUUUUUAGAGAAAAAUUAGAUCUAAAUUUUUCUUUACAUUCAUUAUUCAAAAACAAAUCUUAUUCAUACCUACGUGAAUAUUGUUUUUCUUUUUCUACUCAAGUUCUCUUUGCUUUUGACAUACCUCUAUUUUUUUUUUGAAGUCGGUUGGUCUUUUGUAGGAUGAGAGAGGAUUUUGAUGAUUUUAUUAUGAGAACGAUGGUUUGGGGUUGGGGAUAGGUUUAAAAUAGGGGAGAGGAUCGAAUAAUGAAGAAAAAUUUUGAAAAAAAAAAAAAAAGGGCUGUCAUGAAAUUGUGGGUUCAACCUACGAUUUCAGUGACACCUCAGCAAAUCACUUCAAACGGAGAUUAUGGGUUCAAUUUAUGAUUUUGUUUUACAUGGCAAUGAAAUCGUGGGUUCGAUCUAUGAUUUUAUACGUGGCAUCCCACAUCACCCAAACUACGGUAGAUUCGUAAAUAAGUUGAAAAUGGGGAUAUUUUGGGAAUUAAGUUUUUAAAAAAUAAUAUUUUAAAAAAAAUCCGCCAAUAAGGUAUAGUAUAAGCAUAAUUUCUAACCUCAACUACAAAGAGGAGACAUUAUUUCUGUUUUUUGUUAGGAAGAAAUAAAAUAUAAGCUCAAACAUAAGAUGCAAGAUGAGGACGGGCAUUCUAUAUGUUCAGCAAUCAUUCCGAAACUUCAUUUAAGCCACUCUAAAUUCAAUUCACCUAUUCUAAACUCAAUAAUUGUAGUAUCUAAAUAUUUUUCACAUAACAGAAUUGGAUUACAAUCUACAUCCGUUAUUGGCUUUGCAAUCAAUUGAUAAAUUAAUAAUAUGCAGCAUAUCUUGCAAACUAAGAUAUAACCUAAAAUUGUUAAACAAUAAUCUAAUCUAUAGGUUUCUAUAUCUUAAAAUCUUACUAUGGCUAUUAAAAUGGAGAGUAUACCUUCUCAUAUGCUUUGAAAGAGUUGCUUACAGCCGUCCGGUUCAAAGCAAUUUGAACUGGAUUUGUUUAAUCAACCAACUUGGGCCCAACCGCUCAAGUUUAAUACGAUUAAACAUUGUACGCCAAAGGAGAAGGGCUACACCAAGAAUCCAAAAUAUGUACCAUACCUUCAAGAAUGGGAGAAUAGGGCCAAUUUUAUUAUUGGUCCUGUUUGCCGAGAUCCCUCCCCUGGGACAGUCACUACUGCAAGACAUGCUUGGGCUUAAUCUUUGCAAGUUGCGGAAUUGGGAUCAGCAAGAUUUGUGCUGGCUUGUCGACAAUCCUCUCCUGAACAUACAUCUUCACAGGACAGAGUAUAGUCGAUGAUCCGAUGGAGGAUUAGAGUACAUUACAGUGUGCAACAAUAUUAUUAUGGUUUGAUAAUAUUGACUGUUUCAUGUGUAAAGGUCUAUUAAUGCACGCUCACAUGCCACAUCAAUGAAAGACAAUUGGAGAUGAUGGUGGGACGAAUAACAUGUUCAUUGUUUCCCACGGUUCCUUUUCUAAAAGCCUGCAGGACAUCUAUGAACAAUUAAGUUUAUGUUAUGUAAGCUUUUUUUUAUUUUUUUGCUGUGUACAGUUAUAUCAUUUGGAUUCCAGAUCUAAUUUGUGUUCUCUAAGGUAAUAAGAAUGGUGUGAAAAGACCUCACAGCAGAUUUCAACAUAUUGUUUCUGAGGCUAUAAAGUUACCGUGUUAAAGUCUUGUAAAAUUAAUUACCUUUUUUUUGAAUCUAUGCAGAUCAAAUUAUUUUUGAAAAAGUCCUUGGGUGAAAUUCCUUGGAAGCCAAGCAAGUGUUAUAAGUUGCAGCGAUUGUACCAUUAAACAGGAAUUACAGUGAAAUUGAAUGGAGUUAUCAAGAUGCCUGUAUAUGGUUGAAAAGUAACAGGUCUGUUCUACCGUAAUUUAUUGACAGCAAUGGAUUUUUUGUUUAACGGCAAGCGUAUUUCUUGA